rnacentral:rRNA from 1 species
AGUUUGAUCCUGGCUCAGGAUGAACGCUAGCGGCAGGCUUAAUACAUGCAAGUCGAGGGGCAGCGCGGUAGCAAUACUGGCGGCGACCGGCGCACGGGUGCGUAACACGUAUGCAACCUACCUUCAACUGGAGGAUAGCCCGGGGAAACUCGGAUUAAUACUCCAUAACACAGGGAUCCCGCAUGGGAAUAUUGUUAAAGCUACGGCGGUUGAAGAUGGACAUGCGUUCGAUUAGCUAGUUGGUGUAGGUAACGGCUCACCAAGGCUACGAUCGAUAGGGGGUCUGAGAGGAUGAUCCCCCACACUGGUACUGAGAUACGGACCAGACUCCUACGGGAGGCAGCAGUAGGGAAUAUUGGUCAAUGGGCGCAAGCCUGAACCAGCCAUGCCGCGUGCAGGAAGAAGGCCCUCUGGGUUGUAAACUGCUUUUGAUAGGGAACAAAUGCCACUUGCGAGUGGAGCUGAGUGUACCUAUAGAAUAAGCACCGGCUAACUCCGUG